GCCAGGCCCGGUGGCGCGUGCCUGUAGUCCCAGCUACUCGGGAGGCUGAGGUGGGAGGAUUGCUUGAGCCCAGGAGUUCUGGGCUGUAGUGCGCUAUGCCAAUCGUUGUCCGCACUAAGUUCGGCAUCAAUAUGGUGACCUCCCAGGAGUGGGGGACCACCAGGUUGCCUAAGGAGGGGUGAACCGGCCCAGGUCAGAAACAGAGCAGGUCAAAACUCCUGUGCUGAUCAGUAGUGAGAUCGCGCCAGUGAAUAGCCACUGCACUCCAGCCUGGGCAACAUAGCAAGAUCCCGUCUCU
rnacentral:SRP_RNA from 1 species